GGUAAGGUAACGGCUUACCAAGGCAACGAUGCAUAGCCGACCUGAGAGGGUGAUCGGCCAGACUGGAACUGAGGCACGGUCCAGACUCCUACGGGAGGCAGCAGUAGGGAAUCUUCCGCAAUGGGCGAAAGCCUGACGGAGCAACGCCGCGUGAGUGAUGAAGGUCUUCGGAUCGUAAAACUCUGUUAUUAGGGAAGAACAUAUGUGUAAGUAACUGUGCACAUCUUGACGGUACCUAAUCAGAAAGCCACGGCUAACUACGUGCCAGCAGCCGCGGUAAUACGUAGGUGGCAAGCGUUAUCCGGAAUUAUUGGGCGUAAAGC
rnacentral:rRNA from 1 species